GGCGUGGUGGCGCAGUUGGCUAGCGCGUAGGUCUCAUAAUCCUGAGGUCGAGAGUUCGAGCCUCUCUCACCCCA
rnacentral:tRNA from 2 species